GUGGGCGGGCUCCUGUGCUCCCGCUUGCCCCUCACUCCAGGUGGGACUUUCGCCUAGCGCCCCCUCGGGCCGCCGCGUCGCCGUCCCUCCACGGCUCCUCGGUCCCAGGCGGCGCUCACAUGGGGGCCGUCUGAGUUUGUCCCAAGGCACCGGCCCCGUUCCCCAUUCCCCGCCCCGUGCCAGGGCCCUUCGGCCUUUCAGCCUCGUUCUCCCUGCCCCGCGGUUACCCUGCUCGGAUUUACGGGCAGCGCAGAGAUAGCGCCCGGGGUUCGUGCACCGCGCAGGGGAUCGGUCCCGGGCUGGGGUGCGAGGGCCGCCCCCGGACCCCAUCCAGCCUGAGAGACUGCCAGGAGGAGGUGACGCCUGCAGUGAGACCGGCAUGGGCAAUGCCUGGUGGCUGGGACAGGAUCCCAUGUUUGGGAAACUCCAGUGACUGUGCGUGUGCCAGGCAGGGAGGGGCAGGGAAGCUGUCAGAGACUGAGAAGGGUUGGGGGUGGGGGCGUAUAGGACAAGAAGCUUAGAGGCAUGGAGAGCCCAAGAAGGAGUGCUGGGGGGAGAAGCCAAAGUGGAGACUGAGGGGUCAGCUGUGACAGUUGAGCACCCCCACCCUGGGGCAGUUCCUCUGUCCUGUGUCUACCACUGGGCUGUUUUAGGGGACUCUGGGGCAGCCCAGGAAAAAGACGUCCAGAGCAAGCAAAACUUCCUUGCUUGUCCACACCAGGAAAUACCAGAGUGGGUGCCAUGACAGGGUGUGGCCUAGGGGCCUGAGGGGCCCGGGGGGGCCAGGUCUUGGAGAGGGCAAGGGAGGCUUCGGUGACCCUGCCUGAGAGCGACCAGGCGUGGAGAGAGGCCAGGAAUGCAGGGGAGACAGCAGGUCUGGCGGCUGGUUAGAUCGACAGGGGAAGGGCAGCUGACUCACCUGGGCACGCCAAGACUAGCCAGUUCUGUCCUCACCCUGCCCCACAGUGAGCACCAAGGCUGCCUGAGGAGGUAGGAGGCUGGGUCCUGCUGGGAACUUGCUGUGUGCCCUGAGGCAAGUCGCCCAGCCUUUCUGAACCACCUCACUCAGGUGACCUGGCAGGACCGGCAGCCAGAGGCCUGGGUCUGAGCCCUGCACAUGCUCUACAGACAUGCUCUACAGAUAGCGUCUCAGCCCCUCUCUUGCCUUCCUCGGCCUCAGUUUCUCCAUAGGUACUUCAUGUGCAGCCUAACACUAAGGAACUUUAGAACUGGGUGGAGGGAGAGGGUAUGGAGGCCAUACUCGUGACCAGAGCCCGGUGGGUUAGGGGUGUGAAGGGUUUGAGCAGGGGUUACUCCUGCUGGGUCCCUCUCACGUUAUGGCUCAGCACCUCCCCCUACCCCCAAACACACACACUCCUGCAUACUCGUGCGUGGUCUGCUCCCUGCUCUCACUCUCUUGGUUGCCUCCAGGAUGAAGGCCCAAGCUCUCUAGCCGGGGAGUGGGGACCCUGGGCACCACCAGACCAGAUCCCCAACCUCAGCCGCAGCCUUCCCCACCACUGCCUCGCCAGCCAUGCUUAACUUCUGGCCUUUUCUCUGAGCAGUGUACCUCAGUUCCUUAGAGGUAGACGUCCCUUUGGAGCCACAGAUCUGGAAGGGUCCUGGAGUAAAUGCCAGUCUGGGUCUGUAAGACUCAUCCCGAGGGUCCCUAGGCUGCUUUGAGCGGUGAAGGAGGCUGAGGACCAGGUCUCUGCACCCAGAGCAACUCCCCACACCAGUUUAUCAUUUCUAAGGAGGACUCACAUAGUUUGAAAGCUCUGAUCUAAACGCACCCCUAUUUCACAGAGGAGGUGACUGAAGCCCAGAGGGGAGCAGGGCUCUGGACAAGCAUGGCCAGGACUGAGCAGUGGGUAGGGGGUUGGCAGGGGGUCCUGUGGGAGCAGCUGAGGUAUGGGCCAUGGGUCCAGGGUAAGGGUAGCUGCCAGCCCCCCAGCGAAGGGCGGGGGACGCCUGAGGUGGAGAGGGGCAGAGAGCUCUAUCUGGGGUGCAACGUGGCUGGGGUGGACCCCAGGUCAGUGUGAGUGUGGGGGAUGCCUGGUGUUCAGGGCCCCUCGGCCUCGAGCUACUGACUGCAGGUCCCCACUCGCCCUGAUCUGGUUCCUAGUCCACACCUCCUGUCCUGGCUGCACCUUCUUCCUCCACCUUUAUUUAGCCAGUGUCCUCACCUCUCAGUUCACACCCCCUACUGACUGGCUGCCAACUGAGGAUGGAAAGGUCACCCCCACCCCCCAAAGGGCCUUUCCCUUCUGUCAGUUUCUGGAGCUAUGGGGGAGGGUCGGGGGGGGGCGGGCCCCACUUGCUGUACCCCUGGCCCCUCAGCUGGGCUCUGUGGAUCUGCCUGAGUUGACGUGGAGCCACCUGUCCCUCUGCCCCAGGUGGGGUGGGGGGAGGUACUGGGGCUGCCACAGGGGCCCACAGAGCAGGCCACAGCUGGGCAGCUGGCCGCUUCCCCUUCCUGUCGGUCCCUCCCAAGGCCUCGCCCUCCUGAAGCAGCAGCAGCAGGAAAGGUGGGGCAGGAAUGCCGGGGCCUGGGCCCUUGGCCAGAGUUCUGAGACACCCGCCCUGCUGCCCCAGAGCCUGUUCCCUGGGAGUUGUAGGUUUUGUCAGGGGCCUGGAAAGGGCGCUGGGGCUCCACCUGUGUCACCUGCCCAUUCCGGCGAUCCCGAUGAUAUCUCCCACCCCACCUAGGUCAGCUUACGGCAGAGCCUCUGAGUGUCAGAGCCAGGGACAGGCAGUCUGAGGGUCUCAGGCUAAGAGACCCUGAGAUGUGUGGUCUGGUCCUUCGGGCAGAUGAAGUUUGCUCGGUGAGGACACCUGGCUCUGGUGGGAGAGCGCUGUGUCUGUUUGGAGGCUGCGGCCUGGCUGUGGGGGUGGGUUGGAGCCCAGGCCCCUUGCUGACCCUCCCUCUCGUCAGAAAGCCACAUUCUCAGGGGAUCUCUGCCUGCUUGGUGCGUUCCUCACUCCAUGGUGGGGAGUCCAAAGACUCAAGCCCACCUGCCCGCCCCCACAACCCCUACCUCUUUGCUCUGGGCACAGCAGGGUCAGCCAGGUUGAGGGGCACGGAGGGUCUGGCUCUCACCCCUGCUGACCUCACUCUGCCACUGCUGGGCCCUGUCUCCUCUCCAGCUGUCACCACAUCCAUCUCCCCAAGUCUGAUGUUGGGUCCUACCACGCUCCCUUGCCCUGAGAUCCUCCAUAACUCCUCCACUGGCCACGUAGGCCACUCUUGGUGGGCCACGCGCAGAGCCUGGGCCCUCAUGCCCGUGAUCCUUUGCUCUCACUGUACCCAUGAUCCUUUGCUCUCACUGUGCCCAUGAUCCUUUGCUCUCACUGUGUCCAUCUGCAUGGCCUGAGCCAUGGCCUUGAGAAAAAAGCUGGGUUCCUCUGACAGUGUGUCCUUGUUUCCAGAGACUCUGUGGAGGGGGAGCUAGGUCAGAGCACCACUAGAUAUUACUCUGAACCUCGGGAGCCAUGGUGGAUGUUUGAGCAGGGGAAUGAGCAGGCCAGAACUGGGCUUGAGGAGCACCUGCCUUUUGGGCUAAAAAGAGGUGUUUCCCUAGGCAGUUCUGAACCCUCACUGCCUCUCCAUCAGGUCCCCUCUGCUGGGCCCAGGUGCAGAGCAGGGCAGGGGUCAGUGGUUGGUCUGGGCGUUCCCCUCUGAGGCGGCCCCAGGCUCACCACUCCGUUCUGUUGUGGGCAGUCCCGGGCACGUGGGCUGAGAGCGUGGCACUGACCGUGCUCUCCCUGGCGCCCUCUCUCUGGUCUGUGCCCCAUUCGCAGGCCCCGAGUCCAGCAUUCUGGCCAUGUGCAGCCCUGAGGAGGAGGCCCUGCUGCGGCUGGAGGAGGUCUUCUCCUCCACCCUCGCCCGCAUCAACAGCCUCGUCCUCCAGCCCCUGCUCACGGCUGAGCCCUCGGACCCCCAGGGCAGAGAGUGCCUGCGGCUGUUGCAGCAGCUACACAGGAGCUCCCAGCAGCUCUGGGAGGUGACGGAGGAGAGCCUGCACUCGCUGAGGAGGAGGCUGUGCCACCAGGACUCCGUCGGGCUGGAAUCCCUGCUGUUGUUGUGCGGCGCCGACCGCGUUCUACGGGUGCACGUAGAGUACAUCGAAGCCUACACUAGCUGCGUGGUGGUGCAGGCCUUUCAGAAGGCAGCAAAGAAGAGGAGCGAGUACUGGCGGGGCCAGCGGAAGGCGCUGCGGCAUCUCCUGUCGGGCGUGAGCUCAGAGGCCUCCGUGGGCACAACGCUGGUCCAGGCGCUCCGCCAGCCGCUCGCCCAUCACGUGCAGCAGUAUGUGCUCCUCCUGCUGAGCCUCGGGGACACCAUUGGGGAGCGUCACCCCACUCGGGAGCUGGUGGUGCACGCGGCCACCCUCUUUGGGAACCUAGAGUCCUUCAUGAGGCAGGCGCUGGACCAGGCCACCACCACGCAGGCCCUCUGGCACGCCCUGAGCAGCCGGCUGAGAGAUGUGCUCUGCACCCCUGCUCGCAGACUCCUGCAAGACAGCCAGGACAUACCUGUGACGGUCACCCCGCUACGGGCGGAGCGCGUGCUGCUCUUCGAUGAUGCCCUGGUCUUGCUGCAGGGCCACAGCGUCCACACCUUUGAUCUGAAGCUGGUGUGGGUGGAUCCUGGGCAGGACGGGUGCACGUUUGAUCUCCUCACACCUGAGGAAGAGCUCUCCUUUUGCUCCAAGGACCCCCAGGGCCGGAUGGUCUGGCAGUGGAAGGUGACUCAGGCUGUGUGCCAGGCCCUGCGGGGGAAGAAGGACUUCCCCAUGCUGGGGGCGGGCCUGGAGUCCCCCGAGCCCCCCACCUGCCGCUGCGUGGCAUACACCUUCCGCGCCGAGGGUCGGCUCUGCCAGGCCACCUACGAGGGCGAGUGGUGCCGGGGCAGGCCCCAUGGCAAGGGCACCCUGAAGUGGCCAGAUGGCCGGAAUCACGUGGGGAAUUUUUGCCAGGGCCUGGAGCACGGCUUCGGCAUCCGCCUGGUGCCCCAGGCCUCCGAGGACAAGUUUGACUGUUACAAGUGCCACUGGUGGGAAGGCAGCAUGUGUGGCUACGGCAUCUGUGAGUACAGCACUGACGAGGUGUACAAAGGCUACUUCCAGGCGGGCCUGCGGCACGGAUUCGGGGUCCUUGAGAGCCCCCCACAGGCCCCGCAGCCCUGCAAGUACACGGGCCACUGGGAGAGGGGCCAGAAGAGCGGCUACGGCAUCGAGGAGGAUGGUGACAGGGGUGAGCGCUAUAUUGGCAUGUGGCAGGCUGACCAGCGCCAUGGCCCAGGGGUCAUGGUCACCCAGGCAGGUGUCUGCUACCAGGGCACCUUCCAGGCGGACAAGAUGGUGGGCCCAGGGAUCCUCCUCUCUGAAGACGACUCCUUGUAUGAGGGCACCUUCACCAGGGACCUGACCCUUGUGGGGAAGGGCAAGGUCACCUUCCCCAAUGGCUUCACCCUGGAGGGCUCUUUUGGCAGCGGGCCAGGAGGAGGGCUGCAUACCCAGGGCCUGCUGGACACGGCCGCCCUCCCGCCAGAACCAAGUGGCACCCGUAAGAGGCAGCUAGGUGUGGGCGCCUUCCCCGCGGAGAGCCGCUGGCAGGGCGUCUACGGCCCCUUCCGGGACUUCGUUAGCGCCGGCUGCCCUGGGGACUUGCAGGAGGCCCUGCUGGGCUUCCACGUGCAGAACUCGAGGGAGCUUCGCAAGUCCCAGGAGUACCUGUGCUGCGAGAGGACCCAGCCCGAGGACCGCGCGGGCAGAAUGGAAGACGUCCUGGACGAGCUGCUGCAGCACCGGGAGCCCAGAGCCCUGCGGCAGUGCCUCAGGAAGGCUCUGAGCAACUCGCUGCACCCCCUGGGAAAGCUGCUCCGGACGCUGAUGCUGACCUUCCAGGCCACGUAUGCCGGCAUCGGGGCCAACAAGCACCUGCAGGCGCUGGCCCAGGAGGAGGUGAAGCAGCAUGCCCGGGAACUCUGGGCCGCCUACAGGGGUCUGCUGCAGGUGGCCUUACAGCGCAAGGGCCAGGCUCCAGAGGAAGACGAAGAUACAGAGACAAGGGACGUGCAGGUGCACGGAUUGGUGCUGCCCCUUAUACUGCCCAGCUUCUACUCGGAGCUCUUCACGCUCUACCUGCUUCUCCAUGAGACGGAGGACGGUCUCUACAGCCAGGGCAUUGCCCACCUGAGCCUCUUCCCCGACACCAAGCUGCUUGAGUUCCUGGACGUGCAGAAGCACCUGUGGCCCCUCAAGGACCUCACGCUGACAACCAAUCAGGUGAGAAGAGACUCUCCCUGGUCAGGGACAAGUGCUUCCUGUCAGCCACUGAGUGUCUGCAGAAGAUCAUCACCACGGUGGACCCCCGCGAGAAGCUGGAGGUGCUGGAGAGGACAUACGGGGAAAUUGAGGCCACGGUGUCGCGGGUGCUGGGCCAGGAGCACAAGCUGCCCAUGGACGACCUGCUGCCGCUGCUCAUCUACGUGGUGUCACGUGCCCGAAUCCAGCACCUGGGAGCCGAGAUCCACCUGAUCCGUGACAUGAUGGACCCCAUCCACACGGGAGGCCUGUAUGACUUCUUACUCACGGCCCUGGAGUCCUGUUACGAGCACAUCCAGAAGGAAGAUAUGAGGCUGCACCGCUUUCCCGGCCGCGGGGACUCCAGACGGCCCUGGUAGCCCGGCUGCUCCCGGGCCGACCGCAGAGCUGAGAGGGGCCGCCAUGGUCCAGCCUGGCCCUCGUCGCCCACAGAGCAGAGGACAGGAGGGGCCCCUGGAGGCGGUUCCCGGAGGGGAGGGGCAGUUAGUUUCUUCCAGGGAGACGCUGCUGCUGCCUGCAGUGGGCCGAGGGCGAGGGUGACACGCGUGGGCCCGGAGCCGGGGGCUCCCCCUCCCCCUCGCCCUGCCCCUAGGUCGGUGUUGGAUGACCUCCCUGACCUGCAGCGGCUCACCGGCCUUUUUGCUGCCCGAGCCUGGCUCCCACACAGACCUCGCGGGGCCUCGGCGUCGCCGUCUGUUUACCAGCGGACUAGAUGGUCUGUGACGGGCCUUCCGCCCGUCUUGCUGGAUCCCGGAGUCCUUCUGGAAGUUUGACUUUUUAGGCUGCCGGGCUGAGAUUCUCACAUCAUCGUCGGUGGUGUUCCCUGUUUCCUGGUCAGAGGCUCUACGUUGCUAGUGAGGCCGCUUUUCAUGAGGCCUUUUGUCCAGGGGUGGCCUCCUAGGGUCCUGCCUUGUUUCCGACUCUGCCCCGGGACUGAGCUGGUCUCUCUGGGCUGCGGGGCUGGACAAACCCCAGUCCACCCUGACCUGCUGGGUGGCCUCCAGCAAGGUCCUAAGAGCCACACGCCUGCAGCCCACGGGCCCGUGUGCAGGGGGACAGCAGUGGCAUGGGGCCAUCUGUGCUCUGUCCAGGCUCAAGACCCUGCAGGUGCAGGGGGAGGACAGGGGGUCUCAGGGGCCUUGGGGAGGGGAGGACUUUGUUCCCACAAUGGUUUCCAUGUGGGACUGAGAGACACGGGAGCUCCGUCUUGGGGCAGCCUCACCCCUGCCUGGCCUCGGUUUCUUCUCCCCACAUCGAGGGGCUUCCACCUGGUGACCUGCGGGGCCCCCCCCUGCCCUGUCACAGGAGACGUGUGACAAUAGGCGGGGUGACUGAUCUGAAGAAGUCCAGGGGCGAAGCAUGGGGAGAGGGUGGAUUUAUGCAGGGAUGUAGCCCUGGAGGGAGAGCUGGGCCCGGCCGCCACAGCCGCCCUGCCACCGUGCCCUGGAUCGUGAGCAACUCAGGUCACCGUCCUUGGCUCCAGGUGUGCUCUCCGGAAAUGAGCACUGACCUCGAGGCCCGUGAGGGAGGCUCUCAGAAAGCCCAGCCACUCCUGAGCCCCAGGCGGAAGCCCCCCAGGAGUCUCAGGGUGGGGGGCUGGUGGUGGCUGGGGGCACCCACAGACCCUGAGAGGAUGGAGGGCAGGAAGAGUGAGGAUAUCCGGAUGCCAUGGGCCUUCGAGCUUACCCAGGACGCUGCCACUGCUAUUUAAUCCUCUCAACGGUGACCAGCUCCUUCUUGUCCCUUGACGAGUAGAACACGCUUGCCUCAAGGCGGCCCUGAGUGGUAGGACGCCUGCAGCCUCACCCCAGAGGCUGCCCCCCCAAGCUCCCUCCAGCCCCCCACACCACCCGGCCUCCGUCAGGAUCCGAGAACUCUCACUGUAGCUCCGAUUCACCAGGACCCCUCCACCCGCCCUGUGGCCGGGCCUUGCCCAGUACCAGCGGAGCUGGAGCCUCUGGGCAGGGACGGGAGCGGCCGAGGGCGGCCGCGCUGUGGCAGCCAAAACCCGAGACAGUGAGGACAUUGCCAGCCGAGGUCAGUGCUGCAUUCGCAGAAGAGACGCUUGGAACCGGGCAGCCCGCCUGCCUCGUGGGCGCCUCGGGAGGCUGAUGGAGACGGGUCACCUGCGGGGACCCCAGCGAGGACCUCUCCCAGCUGCUGCGGGAGCCCCUUUGGCUGCAGGGUCCUACGUCUCGGGAGGUCAGGUUGGCCACCAGGACCUCAUGGUCCCCUGUGCCGGAGAGCUGCGAGCCCAAGGGGGCCCCGUUCCUUGACACCUGCAGGCGGCUUUCUGACAGGCUGCACGGGGCCGCACCAGCCCUGUCCCCGGGGGCCUGGGUUUGGGGCUGAGAGAGAGACACCCGAGAGAUUAAAUGACCUCUCAGUGAGCAGACGCGUUGGAGUCACAGCCUGACCUCCCCCUCCCUUCCACGGCAGCCCUGGGCCUACAUGCGGCCUCCCAUGGUGCCCCUCAACUCCUGCUUCCUGCACCCGCAUUUCCCUUCCUCCCCGCCUGCUCUCCAGCUCCCGCCCCUCGUCGUUCUGUGCCCCACACGCGCCCUCCUCCGGUCCCCUGGGUCCCAGCUGCUCCGUCCUCACAGGCCCAGCUCACGUGAGGCCCUCAUGUCCCAAGGAAUGAGCCCCCCGGCCCCGCUCCAGGGCCCGCUCCCUGGCCCAGUCGUGUUACUGGUGCCUGACGGUGGGUGCCUGCUCCCCCGCCCUCGAUCUCCAGGCGCAGCAACGCCCUCCGCCUCUCCCUGGGCCGGCAGCGAUGGCAGUGAGCGUGAGGGUGGAAACGGGUGGAUUUGGGAAAGGUUGGACUGUGAAGGACCCCAGCCCCGGGCCGGGUCCGCAUUCAAGACUGGCCGGGGUGGCAUCUGUGAAAACAGAAGCCCCUCGGGUGUGACCAGCACAGGCAGGGACCCACGUGGAACGGAGGGCUGGCCACGCUCAGGCCAGGAGCAGCCGGGAAGUUGUUGCCAAACCCUCAGAGAAAGGGGGGAAAAGGCAACGCCCUCUCUGUUUGGGGCUCAGGUUCCUGUCCCCGGGGCACCACACCCGGCAGCAAUGUGGCCGGUCCAGCAGGUUGUCUCCGGGCGCUAAUCUGUUGCGGGUGUUGCGCUCCCACAGCAGGAAGUGUCACGAGGCGGCCAGGUUACACCUGUUGACCAGUUGUGGCUGGUGAUCGGUCAGGGCACAGAGGGGCCCCACGAAGCCCCCCGCCUCCCUCCCUCAGUCAGCGAGCCUCACCAGGGGCCUCUUGGAUGCCAGCCCCGUUCCCUGCACAGGCUACAAUCUGGGACGUGGCCAACAAGGCCCCCGCCCUCUUCAGGUGAGAAGGGCCAGCUGUCCUCCCAGAAAGGGACCAAUGACAGGGAGUAGAGGAAGCGGGAGAAGCCGAGUCCACAGCUACUGAGAAUGGGAGCUGCCAGGCAUCUUAGAGGGAUGCCAGUUCUGACUAGGCCUCUAUUCUGAUCGCCCCCAAGGGUGCUGGGACCAGGGCACGGCCCAGACAAACCCCUUGCCCACUGCAGCCUUGGACAAGGCUGGAGGGAGAGUGUGGGGGGCAGCCAGAGGGGCGUGGGGCUGCUGGAGAAGCCUUAGCAAUGCUGAAGGGAGGCCAGCCCUCCCUGAGCGGGGAACUAAGUGAGCCUCGUGGCCUCAGCUGUCGUCUCUCCCAGAGGGAUGGCCACCCACCAUGGGACCAGUGAGGGGCAGGGACUGCCCUCCUGUGGCCACUGGGGAAGGGGUAAGUUCAGGGUUAGAGUCAAGGUCAGUGUCAGGGGUUAGGGUUAAGGUCAGAAGCAAGGUCAGUGUCAGAUUAGAAUAAGGGUCAAGGUUGGAGUUCAAGUUAAGGUUAGAGUGAGAGGAAAUGUCAGGUUCAGGUCAGUUCAGGGUCCUGGUCCAGGUCAGGACUUUACUGGCUGGCCUCGCCCAGGGUUGUGUGGACGUGAGCUCUGGCUUUGACUCUUGCUGUGGGCCGGAACCAGGGGUGGGGGCCAGGCUGCCAAGGCCUUGACCGUGGCCCAGUCCCUCCCCAGACUGGGUCUUGUUUGCUGUCUCUAAGAACCCUCACUUUGCAAGACCACUGUUCUGCCAUCCGGGGAAGGAAGGGAAGAGUGGGCAAGAGGUGAGGCUGGGGGUCUGGCGCCGUGAAGGUGCCCGGGCAGCGACCCCUUCCAGAUGUGGUGCUGGUGCCGCUAGAGAGAAGGGCUCAGUUUGCAGAACGGGGCUGGAGUCACUAAGUACAGUAUUCAUGACCCACCUGAGGCUGGGGGCUACGGCCCGGCCCCUGCAGCGUCCUGUUGCGGUUUUAAACAGAAACAUUCAUUGAGCGUGGCUGGGACUCCAAACCGGUGGAAGUAAGUAAGACCCGCUGGUCCCCUGUGUUGGGGAGCGGCCCGCCGGUGUCUGGGCUCUCUCCCCCGGCGCCAGGGGCGGGGGUUGGUAAGGAGGGUUUGAAGCCUCGUAUCUAUCUGAAAUUCACAUCUGAGGUUUGCCAAACAGGAGAUCUCUCAGCCCUGACUCAUCAGCAAAUCAGAACCCCGGGGGCAGAGAACAGGGAGAGGCUGUGAAGGGGAAGGGGGGUCUAAGGGAGUAUUCAGCUGCCCCCCUCACCCCCGGGCCAAGCAGUCCUGUGACGCUUGCUGGGCAGUGCAGGGGUGGGGGGGGACACAGAGUUAGCCAGAGCGCUUGGAGUACCCUUGGGUGAAGGCUGCUGGUGGCUGGGGACAGAUGAGUCCUGCCCUGGAUUUUCCCUGGGGACAGUGACCCCUUCCCUUGCUCUGCUGGCUGGAAAGGACCUGCAGAGGCUGGUCUGCCCAGGGCAGCAUCGAGGCUCUUCCUCUGUGUGUCCUGAGCUGGGGCGGCUAUGCCCGGGUCGGGGAGGGGCCUGGGUCUGUGUGUGGGGAAGGGCUAGCAGUCCUGCUCGUCUUACCCAGUCUUCCAACUGUCACUUCCAGGCCUGCCUUCGGAGGCAAGCGCUCCCCUGCCACCCCCCACAUCUGCAGUCCUCAGGAGACGAGUGGUGGGAGAAGAGAGCAGGGGACCAGCAAUGCACACGGGACCUCCCUGAGACCCAGGUCUCGGGGCCACUGCUUCAUCCAAAGGGACCUUCUACACCCUGCUGGUCAUACGGCCGCACCAGGCUCAGUUUCAGGAACCAAAAGAACGUAAGAGGAACCAGGUGCAAACUGUCAGUUGGUGGGGGCGCCUGGGUGGCUCAGUCGCUUGAGCAUCUGACUCUUGAUACGAGCUUGGGUUGUGACCCCAGGGUCAUAGGGCCUGAGCCCUGCGUCGGGUCCACACUGGGUGUGGAGCCUGGUUAAGAUUGUCUCCCUCCCUCUGCCCCUCUCCCCCACUCACACAUGUUCUCUCUCUCUCAAAACCCAAAAAAGCCCAUCAGUUGGUGCCCGCUCUGUAAAUGGUGCAGACAGGCUGUUUACCGGCAGCCUCUGGUCUGUCUCUGACACCAGUGUAGGACCCUCUUAAUCACGAGUUCGUGCAUUUCAUUCGGGUGUGGCCAAGGGUCAGUCCCAGGCCCCAGGCAUCCUCAGGGAUAAACGCAGGUGCCAGCCUCUGAGCUGAGACCAACCCUGUGCUUGCACACUGAACCUUGCCGUUGCCUCCGAGGAAGGGGGGCAUCGGUGAUUGGGCGGCUCUUUGUGUCCCGUCCUGCGUGGGGUCCUGCUCGCUGCAGGAGAAGGAGCCCUGGAGGCACUCACAGUCUUCGUGGUCAGGGCAGGAAGGGAGGGCUGCGUCCUGGCAGAUGGCACCGUGGAACUGGAACUCGAGGGAUGAAUUUGCCAGGCGGGGGGUUGGCACGCCUGGCAGAAGGAAAGGCAGGGACAGAGGCCGGGAAGUGGGGAAGGGCCCGGCUUUCCCAGAAUGUGGAGAACUGGGAACCGAAUCAAGGAGAAGUCAGGCAAACCCAAGGUGAGAAAGCCUUGCAAAACCCGUGGGGGCCUUUUCCCACAUUUCCCGAUUUUCACCCUCCUACGAUGUUGUCCUCUGUCCCCAUGAUGGUUGUCAAACACCCACCAGUUCUUUCUCCCUCUUCCCAUCGAGAUGCGGAGGCAAAAACCCCUGCCCUUAAACCUUGGCCUUUGACGAUGCAGUGGGACAGAGGCCACCAGCCUUGUGAGGCUGGGAUCCAGAAGCUCACGUGGCCUCUGCCAGUUCCCCUGGACAUCCAUGCUGGGAGCAUUUCACCACAGAGAGAGAAGUCUGCCACCCUGAGCGGCCAUGUGGGGAGACCGUGUGGGGACAGCAGACAGAGAGAGAGGUGGACGCCCAGUGGAGCCAGCUCAUCGGGGAUCUGGUUGUUUGGGUCUCCCAGCCCAGACCCUGAGCACGUGAAUGAGAACACUUCUGGGGUGACUGCAGCCUUGGCCGCCCUCUCACUGGAACCUUAGGAGACCCCCCUACAAACAACAGCUGCCUGGCCUAGCCAGUGGGCCCCAGAUUCAUGAGAGAACCAAACAGCGCUGGUGUUUCAAGCCACGGUUUGGGGGUGUCUUUUUAAUGUGACAACAGAUGAACGGAACAGUCCUUUCGCCAUUAUCCACUAUUCAUCAUUUAAUUAAAAACACUUUUAUAUGCUUCAUUUAAAAAAAAAAGUUUUUUCUCAUUGCA